rnacentral:rRNA from 1 species
UGAGGAAUAUUGGGCAAUGCCCGCAAGGGUGACCCAGCAACGCCGCGUGGAGGAUGAAUGUCGUAAGAUUGUAAACUCCUGUUAGAGGGGAAGAAUAGUACCGGUUGGACCGGUAUAUGACUGUACCCUCAGAGAAAGCCCCGGCUAACUACGUGCCAGCAGCCGCGGUAAUACGUAGGGGGCAAGCGUUGUCCGGAUUUACUGGGUGUAAAGGGCGCGCAGGCGGGAUAAAAAGUCAGUGGUGAAAUCCUACAGCUUAACUAUAGAACUGCCUUUGAUACUUUUAUUCUUGAGUUCGGGAGAGAGAGACGGAAUUCCAGGUGUAGUGGUGAAAUACGUAGAUAUCGGGAAGAACACCAGUUGCGAAGGCGGUCUCUUGGUCCGACACUGACGCUGAGGCGCGAAAGCGUGGGGAGCAAACA